AUUGAUCGCUGGCGUCAGGCCUAACACAUGCAAGUCGAACGAGUGGCGGACGGGUGAGUAAUGUCUGGGAAACUGCCUGAUGGAGGGGGAUAACUCCUGUAACCGGUAGCUAAUACCUCAUACCAUCAGAUGUGCCCAGAUGGGCUUAGCUUGUUGGGGGGGUAACGGCUCACCAAGGCGACGAUCCCUAUCUGGUCUGAGAGGAGGACCAGCCACACUGGAACUGAGACAUGGUCCAGACUCCUACGGGAGGAAGCCGUGGGGAAUAUUGCACAAGGGGCGCAAGCCUGAUGCAGCCAUGCCGCGUGUAUGAAGAAGGCCUUCGGGUUGUAAAGUACUUUCAGCGGGGAGGCGUUACCCGCAGAAGAAGCACCGGCUAACUCCGUGCCAGCAGCCGCGGUAAUAC
rnacentral:rRNA from 1 species